rnacentral:rRNA from 1 species
GGUUACCCACGUGAUAGGAGUUUGUCCUGCGCUCGGAGUAGUAGCUUGCUCUUACGAAGUUAGCGGCGGACGGGUGAGUAACACGUGGGUAACCUGCCCAUAAGACUGGGAUAACUCCGGGAAACCGGGGCUAAUACCGGAUAACAUUUUGAACCGCAUGGUUCGAAAUUGAAAGGCGGCUUCGGCUGUCACUUAUGGAUGGACCCGCGUCGCAUUAGCUAGUUGGUGAGGUAACGGCUCACCAAGGCAACGAUGCGUAGCCGACCUGAGAGGGUGAUCGGCCACACUGGGACUGAGACACGGCCCAGACUCCUACGGGAGGCAGCAGUAGGGAAUCUUCCGCAAUGGACGAAAGUCUGACGGAGCAACGCCGCGUGAGUGAUGAAGGCUUUCGGGUCGUAAAACUCUGUUGUUAGGGAAGAACAAGUGCUAGUUGAAUAAGCUGGCACCUUGACGGUACCUAACCAGAAAGCCACGGCUAACUACGUGCCAGCAGCCGCGGUAAUACGUAGGUGGCAAGCGUUAUCCGGAAUUAUUGGGCGUAAAGCGCGCGCAGGUGGUUUCUUAAGUCUGAUGUGAAAGCCCACGGCUCAACCGUGGAGGGUCAUUGGAAACUGGGAGACUUGAGUGCAGAAGAGGAAAGUGGAAUUCCAUGUGUAGCGGUGAAAUGCGUAGAGAUAUGGAGGAACACCAGUGGCGAAAGCGACUUUCUGGUCUGUAACUGACACUGAGGCGCGAAAGCGUGGGGAGCAAACAGGAUUAGAUACCCUGAUAGUCCACGCCGUAAACGAUGAGUGCUAAGUGUUAGAGGGUUUCCGCCCUUUAGUGCUGAGGUUAACGCAUUAAGCACUCCGCCUGGAGGAGUACGGGCCGCAAGGCUGAAACUCAAAGAAAUUGACGGGGGCCCGGCAACAAGCGAGGUGAGCAAAUGUGUUUAAAUUCCGAGCCAACGCGAAGAACCUUACCCAGUCUUGACAUUCCUCUGGAAAGCCCUGAAGAAAGUUGGGCAUCUCCCUCGGGGAAGCCAGAGUGGAGCAAGGAGGCAUGUGUCCCUCCGCCUCGGGUCCGGAGAAAUGAUAU